rnacentral:rRNA from 1 species
AGUGAACGCUGGCGGUAGGCCUAACACAUGCAAGUCGAACGGCAGCACAGGAGAGCUUGCUCUCUGGGUGGCGAGUGGCGGACGGGUGAGGAAUACAUCGGAAUCUACUCUGUCGUGGGGGAUAACGUAGGGAAACUUACGCUAAUACCGCAUACGACCUACGGGUGAAAGUGGGGGACCGCAAGGCCUCACGCGAUUGAAUGAGCCGAUGUCGGAUUAGCUAGUUGGCGGGGUAAAGGCCCACCAAGGCGACGAUCCGUAGCUGGUCUGAGAGGAUGAUCAGCCACACUGGAACUGAGACACGGUCCAGACUCCUACGGGAGGCAGCAGUGGGGAAUAUUGGACAAUGGGCGCAAGCCUGAUCCAGCCAUACCGCGUGAGUGAAGAAGGCCCUCGGGUUGUAAAGCUCUUUUGUUGGGAAAGAAAUCCUGUUGGUUAAUACCUGGCAGGGAUGACGGUACCCAAAGAAUAAGCACCGGCUAACUUCGUG